CCCUUUUGUAUGCUAAACUGAGAUGCUGAAUUUUCUCAGGAGCUUCUGAGGUCUGUGGCUUACACUGGCCAUUGCUUACAGUGCAAAUCCCAUUUCUUUCUUGCACCGAGCAGCCUUGGUCUUCAUCUUCAUCACUGACCGCCAUUACCUGGUGGCAGAAAAGGAAGAGGCAUGUUUGGAUUUUGUAGGUGGCAGCCCCUGUGAACCAAAGACCACAAGAAGGAAGGAAGGAAAGAAAGAAGAAAGCAGACUUUGGGAACGUAGCAGCUCAAGGUGUGAGCUGGGGUGAGCCUGUCCCAGCUUUGGCACAGCCUUCAGUCUGGCCUUGCUCAUAGUUCUCAAACCUCUGACACACAGCAUCUGAUGGUUUUCUCCUAAUGAUGACAGCUCAUUGCUCCAGAUAUACCUGUGAUUACAAGUGCUAUGCUUACUUUUCCUUAACUUUCUCUCUGGAGUAUGCAAUCAGUCCUGCCUUACGGAGAGCAAGUGUAUAUGAGAGCUGGAAGGGCUUUGUUACCCUGCUAAUGGUACAGAAAACAGAUGGGGGCCUGGGAAUCAUUGAGUUCAAAGUAAUGGUCAGUCUGUGCUACAUCGUUCUCCCUGAGCAGGCAGCACUGAGAGCAUCUGAGGAGAUAACUUGGCACUACAUAGUGCAGCACGGUUCAUCUCCAUCAUCAAGAAGACCAAUGGGAGCAAACCUGGAGGUUGGAGAUCUGUUAAAUUUCACUGGUAAUGAAAGCCUACAGAGUCUCCCCACGUGAGUCUGAACAUCACCCCUUCUCUUUCCUUAAGCCUUCAGAGGACAAUACCUGUGGCAAACAGUCCCAGAAAGUAAAAGUGCAGUAUAGCAUAUUGAAGGCUUAUAUACAAGGCUCUUUUGUAAGGACUAAUGACUCAUGCCUCCUGGAUUUAUAAGAAAAUGAGCAUAAAAGCAAUUACUGGGGUGUGAAUUAUUUUGUUUCUUAAUGACCUGACAGUUUUGACAGCUUCUAGCUUGCUAUCUAUCACAGACUCUCUUGAUCUUUCAACUUUAACAUGACUUUUAAUUAUACUUUCUUAUUAGUUAAAGGACAAACAAUCUAUAAUCUGGUUUUGUUCAGUCUGACAUAUUUAAACAAUAAAGGAGCUUUUCCUUCUAGUAGAGCAGAAGGGUUGAUUUGGUUGUCUAACAUGGUAGCUGUAUGAAAAAUCACAAACAGUUCAGGGUUUGUUCUUUGUAUUAACCUUUUGGGAACCGAACAGCAUCAGGGACAGGAGUGGUCCUAUUUUUUUCUGUUACUUAAAAACGUGUAUUUGUCAAUCACUGCUUUUCCUUUGGUCAUUUUCACUCCGUCUGAGAGGAAAAUAAUCUACGAGACUGUCCCAUGUCCCUUCUUUGCAGAUGAGUGCUGCAAUCCAUCCAUGUGGAUGGAUGGAUUUCAGUGUUGAGUCCUUUGUGCCAGAGCUUCCCACUGCAUUUCAGACCUGGUUACAGGAAACUUGUCUGAUGGAGGAAAACAAAGUUCUGUUUCCCUUCCCAUUCCUCCUGACUCUAAGCAGCAUCACACCAUGUUCUUCCUGCCUGGCUGACACAAGAGCAAUGCCAGUACGGGCCAGUGCUAAAAGACCAGAUCUCUUAAGGGAUGCAAAGAACUUGGAAACUGUGCUGAUGGACAUCGUAGACACAGAAAGUGGUAAGAUAUGAGUUGGAGAUAAAUUUGUUUUCUAUAAAUGAAAGUUAGGAAAAGUUCACUGUGUUCUUCAACCACGUAGAAGUUAGGGGGAACUGGGGCUGUUUUCUCCUUGUGUUUAUGCAUUAAAAUACAGCCUUUAAUGCUAUUAUCAUACGUUCAUUUUCUCAUAUGACCAGAUAAGGGGAACUCUUACAGUGAGGAAAGAAACAACAUAUAAGGCCAGAAGGCCUCUGGAGUUGCAGAGAUAUUAAAUAGAUCCCAUACAUCAGUUGUUUGUUGGUCUGCCUAGUGACAGGCCACUGUUUAUCUUAUGAUAAAAUAGCAUGUUAGGGAAAUGUCUCUCUCAACUGCAUUUCUAUAGGAAAUGUUUUUGUAGAAAGAAAAUAGAAGGAAAAGGUAAGAUGAGAAAAGUAAGGGGAAAAAAAAAAAAAAAGUAACUUGAGAAAUUCAGGGGCAAUAAAUCACCACACCAGAUGGUAUUCAUCUGUGAAUUCUG
rnacentral:lncRNA from 1 species